rnacentral:rRNA from 1 species
CCUACGGGCGGCAGCAGUGGGGAAUAUUGGACAAUGGGGGGAACCCUGAUCCAGCGACGCCGCGUGAGUGAAGAAGUAUUUCGGUAUGUAAAGCUCUAUCAGCAGGGAAGAAAGAAAUGACGCUACCUGACUAAGAAGCCCCGGCUAACUACGGGCCAGCAGCCGCGGGAAUACGUAGGGGGCAAGCGUUAUCCGGAUUUACUGGGUGUAAAGGGAGCGUAGACGGCGAUGCAAGUCUGAAGUGAAAGGCGGGGGCCCAACCCCUGGACUGCUUUGGAAACUGUAUGGCUGGAGUGCAGGAGAGGUAAGUGGAAUUCGUAGUGUAGCGGUGAAAUGCGUAGAUAUUAGGAGGAACUCCAGUGGCGAAGGCAGCUUACUGGACUGUAACUGACGUUGAGGCUCGAAAGCGUGGGGAGCGAACAGGAUUAGAUACCCCUGUAGUC